CAACCAACAGGGGGUCACAGUAUCGUGACUCGUGGACUUGUCAGGAGUAUAACUUGAGCCUGCAGAGAAUGAUCAAUGAGAUACACACAAAUGGAUAAGUCUGAUAAUCAGUUAAUAAAUCAGAUGUAACUUGUAAAUAAAGGCACUGUAUGACAGUGUAUGUAGGCCUACAUAUGAUAUAUAUUCUAAAUACUAAUAAAUAGGCCUAGUAGUAUUGUUUUAUUAAUAUUACCUAUUUAUUAAUUAAUAGGGUUUCAGGUCAAACUCAAAGUUUCAAAUGAUCAAAACGCUCUAUAUACCAGUCAAUGCGUGGGAUGGCACCAAAAUAAGUGCUUUUCUGUCAUAUUUGAGUGACGUCAUGAGUCAUAAGCGGUAUUUUCCCUUCAGAAUCGCUAUACUGGCUAGGCUCUAUAUAGUACCAAUUUUAAAACUGAAUGAAAUCCGCACGUUAUUGUCAGCUAAGAUUUAUUAAAAUCAUAAUUAUAUAUUAUAGAUCUAAUUUCAAAUAUUAUACUUAACUAAUAGAAUCAAUUAAGCUUUUACUAUCUAAUAUGGUCGAAGCUCAGGUCCUAAAAACGCCUUUAAUUUAUGGUUUCUGUUAUUCUUAAAUAGAUAUUGUUAGGGACCUCAUGCUGGAGGUUCGGUCGCAUGAUCAUUUAAUGUUCGAAUUCUAUACAAAAUUGUAAAGUCUGAAGUUAGUAUCAACGUAAUUUGCUUAUCUGGUCAACAAAGGUCCAUUUACAUUGAUUUUGAUGGAAAAUUAGAUCUGAAUUACAUAUUACAUAUUUAAAGUUUAUAUUUCUUGAUUAUAAAGGUAGAAUUUGAAAUUAUUUUUUCAGUGUUUUAAAUGGGUUGGUUUUUUUUUUUGAUGGCUUUGACCAUUAAAUUGAAAAAAAUCAAUGAAAUGGACCUUUGUUGUGGUGUGGAUAGGCUUGGGUGUAGGGGUGCCGGGAGCCCAAGUAGUGUCGUUAAAAAAGUAUUAACAUUAGUGUUACUUUACUCUUAUUUUAUGAAAGUUUUUUUCGCAAGUUGAUUUCCUUUAUUUUUUUAAUGUAGAAUGGUAAUGAACUGCUUUUUUCCUUUUCUUUGCUUUAUUUGUUCCGUUUGAAUUUGAUUUAUCUGUUUAGUUUUUGAUUGUUUAAUUAUUGUUUUUGUUAAUUAGGUUGAUUCUUUUAAACUUUGUUUUUAUUUUUAUACGUCCGUCGUCCACAAUUUCUUGUGAACGCUCUAGAGACUAAAGUUAAUAUCUGAUAUUUACUGCCAGAGUUAUAGCCCUUGAUCACUUUGAUAAAUCUUGUGAACGCUCUAGAGGCUAAAGUUAAUAUCCAAUGGACUCCAAAUUGUUACACAGUGUGUAAGGUCAUGAGACGAAGAAGCCUAAUGAUUUUCAGCGAUAUCCGAUAAUUACUACCAGAGUUAUGGCCCUUGAUCACUUUGAAAAAUCUUGUGAACACUCUAGAGGCUAAAUUUAAAAUCCAAUUGACUUUAAAUUUAUACACAGUGUUUAAGGUCAUGAGACAAGACGCCUAUUGAUUUUCAGCGAGAUCUGAUGAUUACUGCAAGAGUUAUGGCAUUGAUAUGUGAGAGACAUCAGUUUAAAGUCGAUUCUGGUUAUUAUAAUCUAAUGUAUGAACUUUGUGUUGAUUUUACCAGCCUGUAAUUGUGGUAUCAUAAUUAAUUGUGAUUUUAACAUUUUUUUUAGUUAACUAUAUUAAAUGAAUUCCAAAUGUACGUGUUGGCGAGGGGGUACAUUAAUAAUUAUAUGUUUUUGUAGUACAUGUUCCUUGUUUUAUAAUAAAACUACGCCCUUUCAUUUUUCAGAAGAAAAGUAUAGAAAAUAUUUCCAAUUAUCUAUCUUGAGAUCACAGAGAUUGAAUGCUGCAGGUCUUGUGUUUAGUGUAUAGACUAAUUGGUGGAUGUUAUUAACAUUAACCUUUUAGCAAAGGUUAGCUUGAUGAUGUUACUGACUUUGCAGUGUAGUGGAAGAUGUUAACCUAACUUUGGUAGACAACAAGCCUAACCCUGAAGUCAACGAUGUACAAUAUGUCAGUGUCACUGUUCCACUACCAAACGUAACGCGAAUAUAAACAAUACUUACGGGUACAUGUAUUUACUUUGAUUGAAAUGAGGUCAACUUAAAAAUUUGUGUAGAUGUGUUAUUUGUUGUAACAGUUAUAUCCAUAAAAGUUAUAUCCAUAAAAUGUAAA